CCUACGGGUGGCAGCAGUAGGGAAUAUUGCUCAAUGGGCGAAAGCCUGAAGCAGCAACGCCGCGUGGAGGAUGAAGGUCUUCGGAUUGUAAACUCCUUUUGUUAGAGACGAUAAUGACGGUAUCUCACGAAUAAGCCCCGGCUAACUCCGUGCCAGCAGCCGCGGUUAUAAGGAGGGUGCAAGCGUUACUCGGAAUCACUGGGCGUUAAGAGCGCGUAGGCGGGAUAGCAAGUCAGAUGUGAAAUCCUAUGGCUUAACCAUCGAUCUGCAUUUGAUACUGUUAUUCUAGAGUAUGGGAGAGGUAGGUGGAAUUCUUGGUGUAGGGGUGAAAUCCGUAGAGAUCAAGAGGAACACUCAUGGCGAAGGCGACCUGCUAGAACAUAACUGACGCUGAGGCGCGAAAGCGUGGGGAGCAAACAGGAUUAGAUACCCGAGUAGUC
rnacentral:rRNA from 1 species